rnacentral:rRNA from 1 species
AAAUUUGGAUUAAUACCUCAUAGUAUUAUAGAGUGGCAUCACUUUAUAAUUAAAGUCACAACGGUGAAAGAUGAGCAUGCGUCCCAUUAGCUAGAUGGUAAGGUAACGGCUUACCAUGGCAACGAUGGGUAGGGGUCCUGAGAGGGAGAUCCCCCACACUGGUACUGAGACACGGACCAGACUCCUACGGGAGGCAGCAGUGAGGAAUAUUGGUCAAUGGGCGCAAGCCUGAACCAGCCAUGCCGCGUGCAGGAUGACGGUCCUAUGGAUUGUAAACUGCUUUUGUACGAGAAGAAACAACAUUACGUGUAAUGUCUUGACGGUAUCGUAAG